UUAAGAUACUAAGAGCAUACGGUGGAUGCCUUGGCGAUAUCUGCCGACGAAGGACGUGACAAGCUGCGAAAAGCUGCGGAGAGAUGCAAAUAAUCGGCGACCCGCAGACAUCCGAAUGGAGAAAUCCGGCUGUGAUGAUACACAGCCAUCCAUGCCCAAGAGCAUGAGAAGGGAACCGGGCGAACUGAAACAUCUAAGUAACCCGAGGAAAAGAAAUCAAACGAGAUACCCCAAGUAGCGGCGAGCGAACAGGGAAGAAGCCCAAACCGGUGAAGGAAACUUUACCGGGGUUGAGGACCAUCAGACCCGCGAAGAACCUUAGCCGAAACUGUUGGGAAACAGUGCCAAAGACAGUGAAAGCCUGGUAGGCGAAAAAGAGAAACGCGGAGAUGGCACCAGAGUACCGCGGGACACGAGAAAUCCCGUGGGAAGCAGGGGGGACCACCCUCCAAGGCAAAACACAGAUAUCGACCGAUAGCGCAUAGUACCAUGAGGGAAAGGUGAAAAGCACCCCGGGAGGGGAAUGAAAGAGAACCUGAAACCGUAUGUUUACAAGCAGUCGGAGACCGCUUAAUAAUAAGGUCGACGGCGUGCCUAUUGAAGAAUGAACCGGCGAGUUACGAAGCCUGGCAAGGUUAAGCAGGAAAUGCGGAGCCGAAGCGAAAGCGAGUCUUAAGAGGGCGCAAGUCAGGAAGCGUAGACCCGAAACCACAGUGAUCUACCCAUGUCCAGGUUGAAACACAGGUAAAAAUGUGUGGAGGACCGAACCUAUAUCCGUUGAAAAGGGUUAGGAUGAGGUGUGGGUAGGGGUGAAAUUCCAAUCGAACGUGGAGAUAGCUGGUUCUCCCCGAAAUAGCUUUAGGGCUAGCCUCAGGGAAAAGAUUGCAGGCGGUAGAGCACUGAUCAGGAGAGGGACCUACCCGGUUACCAAACCCAGUCAAACUCCGAAUGGCUGCAAUCAUACCUGGGAGUCAGACUGCGACUAAUAAGGGCCGCAGUCAAAAGGGAAACAGCCCAGACCAUCAGCUAAGGUCCCCAAUGCCGUGCUAAGUGGCGAAGGAUGUGGCAUUUCAUAAACAACCAGGAUGUUGGCUCAGAAGCAGCCACCAUUUAAAGAGUGCGUAAUAGCUCACUGGUCGAGAGACGCUGCGCCGAAAAUGUCCGGGGCUCAAGCACGGAACCGAAGCUAUGGCAUGAUAGCAAUAUCAUGGGUAGGGGAGCGUUCUUAUAAGGAAGAAGCAUGACCGGAAGGACAUGUGGACGAAUAAGAAGUGAGAAUGCCGGUAUGAGUAUCGAAAAGAAAGGUGAGAAUCCUUUCCACCGAAAGCCCGAGGGUUCCUGAGCAACGAUCGUCGACUCAGGGUAAGUCGGGACCUAAGCCGAGGCGAGAAGCGUAGGCGAUGGACAACAGGUUGAAAUUCCUGUACCGGAUCAAGUCGAUCGAGCGAAGGAGCGACGCAGGAGGGCACAUGAUCGCGCGGCUGGAAGAGCGCGUCCAAGUGCGUAUGUUGCAGCAGAGGAAAACCCCUGCAGCUAAAAGCAGAGACAUGAUGGGGAGUUAAAGGAAACUUUGACGAACUCAUGGAUCCCACACUGCCAAGAAAAACUUCUAGCGAGACAAGAUCCGCCCGUACCGUAAACCGACACAGGUAGGCGGGGAGAGAAUCCUAAGGUGCGCGGGAAAACCCUCGUUAAGGAACUCGGCAAAUUGCAUCCGUAACCUAGGGAGAAGGAUGGCCCCCUGUCAGUGAAGAGCAGAAACGCUCAGAGCUAAAAGGGGCGGCAGAAAAGAGGCCCAAGCAACUGUUUACCAAAAACACAGGUGCCUGCGAAAGCGAAAGCUGAAGUAUAGGUGCUGACGCCUGCCCGGUGCCGGAAGGUUAAGGAGAGAAGUUAGCGAAAGCGAAGCAUCGAACUGAAGCCCCGGUGAACGGCGGCCGUAACUAUAACGGUCCUAAGGUAGCGAAAUUCCUUGUCGGGUAAG
rnacentral:rRNA from 1 species